rnacentral:ncRNA from 1 species
AGCGCCGAACACGACUGGCGCAGGUGGGCCACCACCGGGGAGUGAAGUCGAGCGCAUCGAACGCCUGGGUGCGACUC